rnacentral:rRNA from 1 species
AAGGCCCUAGCUUGCUAGGUGUCCUUAGUGGCGCACGGGUGAGUAACACGUGGGAACAUACCUUAUAGUACGGAAUAACUGCGGGAAACUGUAGCUAAUACCGUAUACUCCAGUAAUGGGAAAGAUUUAUCGCUAUAAGAUUGGCCCGCGCAAGAUUAGCUUGUUGGUGAGGUAAAAGCUCACCAAGGCUUCGAUCUUUAGCUGGUUUGAGAGGAUGAUCAGCCACACUGGGACUGAGACACGGCCCAGACUCCUACGGGAGGCAGCAGUAGGGAAUAUUGGACAAUGGGGGCAACCCUGAUCCAGCAAUGCAGCGUGAGUGACGAAGGCCUUAGGGCUGUAAAACUCUUUCAUCGGUGAGGAUAAUGACAGUAGCCGAAGAAGAAGGACCGGCUAAUUCCGUGCCAGCAGCCGCGGUAAUACGGAAGGUCCUAGCGUUGUUCGGAAUUACUGGGCGUAAAGCGCAUGUAGGCGGAACAGAAAGUUAGAAGUGAAAUCCCUGGGCUCAACCUAGGAAUUGCUUUUAAAACUUCUGUUCUGGAAUUCAGGAGAGGAAAAUGGAAUUUCCAGUGUAGAGGUGAAAUUCGUAGAUAUUGGAAGGAACACCAGUGGCGAAGGCGAUUUUCUGGACUGAUAUUGACGCUGAGAUGCGAAGGCAUGGGUAGCAAACGGGAUUAGAUACCCCGGUAGUCCAUGCAGUAAACGAUGGGUGCUAGUCGUCGGACUUUUGUUCGGUGUCGUAGCUAACGCGUUAAGCACCCCGCCUGGGGAGUACGGUCGCAAGAUUAAAACUCAAAUAAAUUGACGGG